CCCUUUUUCCCUCUCUCUUUCACGCUUCAAAGCUUAGGAAUGACAGAUUUCUGUAAAAUUUCUGUAAAAUUCUCAGUCUUUCGGUGACUCUGAUUGCUAGGAGUACUUGGAAUGUGGUGAGGAGAGCUCAGUCAAUUGGAAGGAAGGUUGCUAGAAUUUGGAAAAAUGGGUUCAAAUACUCUGUGAUCUGCUCAUCCUUAAACAGAAUGAAUUGCACCGGAUCAUGCUUCCAUUUAUGAUUAACUGCUCCUUUCUAGGAAAGUAUACCACAAUCUAGAUUUGGUGGUGAUCUUCAACAUGAUGUCCAGAAAGGGGAUACAGUGAUUAAUGCCACUUGUGGCAAUGGUUACUUUAGCAAUGGUCAUUAUACUUGCUGAUGAAUUAGCCAGGGUUGUGUUUAUGCAAUGGAUAUUCAGAAUGAUGCUUUAGAGAAUACUUCUUCCUUGCUAGAAGAGUUGCUCAAUCCAAACAAGGUCCAGAAGGUACAAAACACAGGAAGUCUUUAGCUAAUACAGCUUUUACAAAAGAUUUGGUCCAACCAAAGAGAAUGUAUGGGGGAUUUGAUGCACGUCUUUGCUUUUGAGGUAAUUCAAACAACAAGUUGAGUUAUAAAAGUUCUAUUUGUUCUAUUAUAGAUCAAGUAAAUCAAUUCUAAAUGAGAUUUGUACAUGUGCAAUUGGUCUACUAUACGUAGAGGUGGAUCUCUUUUCCAUAAUAUCCUUCUUAUCUGCACAA